UUCCUAGUACGGCGAGUGACCGGGAAGAGCUCAAAUUUGAAAUCUGGCGUGCUCAGUGCGUCCGAGUUGUAAUCUAUAGAGUCGUUUUCCGUGCCGGACUGUGUCCAAGUCCCUUGGAACAGGGUAUCAAAGAGGGUGAUAAUCCCGUACUUGACACAAUGACCGGUGCUCUGUGAUACGUCUUCUACGAGUCGAGUUGUUUGGGAAUGCAGCUCAAAAUGGGUGGUGAGUUCCAUCUAAAGCUAAAUAUUGGCGAGAGACCGAUAGCGAACAAGUACCGUGAGGGAAAGAUGAAAAGCACUUUGGAAAGAGAGUUAAACAGUACGUGAAAUUGUUAAAAGGGAAACGAUUGAAGUCAGUCGUGACUGAGAGGCUCAGCCGGUUCUGCCGGUGUAUUCCCCUCAGUCGGGUCAACAUCAGUUUUGUUCGGUGGAUAAGGGCAGUUGGAAGGUGGCACCCUCGGGUGUGUUAUAGCCAGCUGUCGCAUACAUCGGAUGAGACUGAGGAAUGCAGCUCGCCUUUAUGGCCGGGGUUCGCCCACGUUCGAGCUUAGGAUGUUGACAUAAUGGCUUUAAACGACCCGACUUGA
rnacentral:rRNA from 1 species